rnacentral:rRNA from 1 species
UACGGGGGGAGCAAGCGUUGUUCGGAUUUACUGGGCGUAAAGGGCGCGUAGGCGGCCUCCGCAAGUCAAUUGUGAAAUCUCCGAGCUUAACUCGGAAAGGUCAACUGAUACUGCGGGGCUAGAGUGCGGAAGGGGCAACUGGAAUUCUCGGUGUAGCGGUGAAAUUCGUAGAUAUCGGGAGGAACACCGGUGGCGAAGGCGGCUACCUGGACUGACACUGACACUGAGGCGCGAGAGCGUGGGGAGCAAACAGG